rnacentral:lncRNA from 1 species
AGAUGCAUCUCGAGAAUCAGCAGAACAGCCAACUGGGGCAUUAAAACAAACAAAAAAAAAGAGAGAAGAGGGUGCAAAAUAAAAUAAUCAAUCAAAAUCAAAAGAAAUCAAGAGAAAGAAAAAGAAAGAAAGAAAACAAAAGAAAAAAAAUAGCACCCUCAAAGUCCCUAGUUGGCUGAUGCUGAAUUCGAUCGAAAAGAAGAGAUCAACUGCCAUGUGUCAUGGUCAAGUUAUAUCAGCAGAGAGUGAAAAAAGCAUUCAACGAGAAGGUCAAGCCUCGUGUGUUCCGAGGGACCUUGUGCUCAAGAAAGUCUUGUCUUUCGUGCCCGAUUCCAGGGGCAAGUGAAC